rfam:Pseudoalteromonas ruthenica strain S3137 contig0014, whole genome shotgun sequence.
UAGUUUGGUCAUCACUUGAGUAUCCUAACGGGCUUUUCGAGAAGAUGAUUACCAAAUUUAAACUAUAGGAGAUGUGUUAGUGGCCCGUAUAGCUGGCAUUAACGUUCCUGAU